GGGUUGUGAGGUUAAGCGACUAAGCGUACACGGUGGAUGCCCUGGCAGUCAGAGGCGAUGAAGGGCGUGCUAAUCUGCGAUAAGCGCCGGUAAGGUGAUAUGAACCGUUAUAACCGGCGAUACCCGAAUGGGGAAACCCAGUGUGAUUCGUCACACUAUCAUUAACUGAAUCCAUAGGUUAAUGAGGCGAACCGGGGGAACUGAAACAUCUAAGUACCCCGAGGAAAAGAAAUCAACCGAGAUUCCCCCAGUAGCGGCGAGCGAACGGGGAGGAGCCCAGAGCCUGAAUCAGCAUGUGUGUUAGUGGAAGCGUCUGGAAAGGUGCGCGAUACAGGGUGACAGCCCCGUACACAAAAGCGCAUGUGCUGUGAGCUCGAUGAGUAGGGCGGGACACGUGGUAUCCUGUCUGAAUAUGGGGGGACCAUCCUCCAAGGCUAAAUACUCCUGACUGACCGAUAGUGAACCAGUACCGUGAGGGAAAGGCGAAAAGAACCCCGGCGAGGGGAGUGAAAAAGAACCUGAAACCGUGUACGUACAAGCAGUGGGAGCACAGGUUUACCUGUGUGACUGCGUACCUUUUGUAUAAUGGGUCAGCGACUUAUAUUCUGUAGCAAGGUUAACCGUAUAGGGGAGCCGGAGGGAAACCGAGUCUUAACCGGGCGUUAAGUUGCAGGGUAUAGACCCGAAACCCGGUGAUCUAGCCAUGGGCAGGUUGAAGGUUGGGUAACACUAACUGGAGGACCGAACCGACUAAUGUUGAAAAAUUAGCGGAUGACCUGUGGCUGGGGGUGAAAGGCCAAUCAAACCGGGAGAUAGCUGGUUCUCCCCGAAAGCUAUUUAGGUAGCGCCUCGUGAAUUCAUCUCCGGGGGUAGAGCACUGUUUCGGCUAGGGGGCCAUCCCGGCUUACCAACCCGAUGCAAACUGCGAAUGCCGGAGAAUGUUAUCACGGGAGACACACGGCGGGUGCUAACGUCCGUCGUGAAGAGGGAAACAACCCAGACCGCCAGCUAAGGUCCCAAAGUCAUGGUUAAGUGGGAAACGAUGUGGGAAGGCCCAGACAGCCAGGAUGUUGGCUUAGAAGCAGCCAUCAUUUAAAGAAAGCGUAAUAGCUCACUGGUCGAGUCGGCCUGCGCGGAAGAUGUAACGGGGCUAAACCAUGCACCGAAGCUGCGGCAGCGA
rnacentral:rRNA from 1 species